rnacentral:rRNA from 1 species
CACGUAGUUAGCCGGGGCUUCUUGGUCAGGUACCGUCUGUUUCUUCCCUGCCGAUAGGGCUUUACGCACCGAGGUGCUCCUUCACCCACGCGGCGUCGCUGCAUCAGGGUUCCCCCCAUUGUGCAAUAUUCCCCACUGCUGCCUCCCGCAGGAGUCUGGGCCGUGUCUCAGUCCCAGUGUGGCCGUCCGCCCUCUCAGGCCGGCUACCGAUCGUCGCCUUGGUGGGCCGCUGCCCCGCAACAAGCUAAUCGGACGCGGGCCCAUCGCGCACCGUCCGGGUCGCCCCGGGCUUUCCCCCGCAGGGGCCAUGCGGCCCCGCGGGAAUAUGCGGUAUUAGCGGCCGUUUCCGGCCGUUGUCCCCCUGUGCGCGGCAGGUUGCCCACGCGUUACUCACCCGUCCGCCACUGGCCGCGCCUUCACUAGGUUUCAGGCGCGGCCCGUUCGACUUGCAUGUGUUAGGCUACGCCGCCAGCGUUCAUCCUGAGCCAGGGAUUCAAACUCU